rnacentral:lncRNA from 1 species
CUCACAUAAGUGGCUUCCCACUGCCAACAAAUGUAGGACUAAGAAAGAUUCUCGGCUCACCUGAAGAGCAGUCUGGAUAGAAAGCAGAUGCGCUCGGGAUUGCCGGCAGAAGUCAUAGUUUUUAACAAAGUCUUCAAAGGCUUUAAAUUCCUACUCCUCAAACUUCUGAAAGCGGUGAGUAAAAUGCUUCUCAAUCACAGGCACGUGAGCACAGAGUGAGUAAAAUGCUUCUCAAUCACAGGCACGUGAGCACAGAGUGAGUAAAAUGCUUCUCAAUCACAGGCACGUGAGCACAGAGUGAGUAAAAUGCUUCUCAAUCACAGGCACGUGAGCACACAGUGAGUAAAAUGCUUCUCAAUCACAGGCACGUGAGCACACAGUGAGUAAAAUGCUUCUCAAUCACAGGCACGUGAGCACACAGUGAGUAAAAUGCUUCUCAAUCACAGGCACGUGAGCACACAGUGAGUAAAAUGCUUCUCAAUCACAGGCACGUGAGCACACAGUGAGUAAAAUGCUUCUCAAUCACAGGCACGUGAGCACACAGUGAGUAAAAUGACUCCCCAAAGUCCACAUAAAAUCUGGGCUGGGGUCAGAGAUGGGUGGGUCCCUAUAGCUUACGGACUAGCUGAUC